GUUGAUGUAAGAUUGAUCACACAAGACUCAUAAUAUUGACACAAAGAUAAAGGAAAUUGAUGUUGUGGAGACUAUUAAGUUUAGUGGGGAUUUCAGUUCUUACAUUCUAUCUUGUACCACAUCUUCAUUUUUGACAGUCUCCUGAUUUUGGUUUAAUAUUUAUAUACAUAAUGAAUGCAAUGUAAAAUAUAUCAUAUUAGCUAAGUAUUAAUUUCAUAACUAUUGAUGCUUCUGGUGGAUUCUCUUGGAAUGGUGAUCCAAACAAUUUGA
rnacentral:lncRNA from 1 species